GCCGAUUUAGCUCAGUUGGUAGAGUAAGGCACUCGUAACGCGUAUGUCAUAGGUUCAAGCCCUGAAAUCGGCA
rnacentral:tRNA from 2 species